UACGAAGGGGGCUAGCGUUGUUCGGAAUUACUGGGCGUAAAGCGCACGUAGGCGGCUUUGUAAGUUAGAGGUGAAAGCCCAGGGCUCAACCCUGGAAUUGCCUUUAAGACUGCAUCGCUUGAACAUCGGAGAGGUAAGUGGAAUUCCGAGUGUAGAGGUGAAAUUCGUAGAUAUUCGGAAGAACACCAGUGGCGAAGGCGACUUACUGGACGAUUGUUGACGCUGAGGUGACGAAAGGCGUGGGGGAGCAAACAGG
rnacentral:rRNA from 1 species